CCACAGAGCAGCUGUUGGUAUUCUGUUGUCAUCUGAGUUUUCCUCAUCCGUGCGCCGAGCCCCGCGUCAAUGCCGGUGGACCGACUGCAUGCUGAGGGUUGCCUCGGAUCCCGUCUUGCCAUUUGCUGAGAAGCACUGCGCACAGGUGUUAAGUUCCUAUCGCCGAGAUGUCUAGCGGUGGCAAGGACAAAGAGAUAAAACCUAAUGGAGAAGUCCACUCUGAUCAUCAUGCUGCAUAAACAUUAAGGCGGAUUUGGCAACGGUAACCCAACGGUAGAAAGAACCACUCAUUUUCUAAACUUAAAAGAAAACAGAAACACUUAAGAGUCACCCACUGCUGAAGAUAAAACAGCAACACAUGAAUCACAAGAAGGCACCACUGACUUUCGGCUGUUUUAUACUCAAAAUGUUUUCAGUUUAGCAACACACUGUGGAAAGAAUAAAAUUCAGAUUUUAUGAAUUGCAUCAUAUUAAAUCUUCAAAGAAAUUCUA